AUGUAUAAUAAAAAAGUAUGUUCAGAAUAUUCGUACUAUCCAUUGAGUGAAACAUAUUUUGAAGACUGUAUAAACGAUGUAAUGAUAAAAAAAAAAAAUAAAAACAUGAGAGGUGGUUCCUUAUUUUAUAAGCCGAAUAAUGAGUAUUGUGAAUUGAAUAAAGCUUUGAUAUUACCUAAUGUUAAAAUAGAAUGUGCUAAAAGAGGUUAUAAUAGUGGUAGUAGUAGUAGUAGUAGUAUUAGUGGUAGUGAUAGUGGUAGUGAUAGUAGUAGUGGUCGUGAUAGUGGUCGUGAUAGUGGUCGUGAUAGUGGUAGUGUUAGCGGUAGUAUUCGUGGUAUUAAUAACUACUCUAGUAGUUACAACAUUAAUAACAUGAAAAGAAAACGUAUAGGUACUAAAAAAAAAAGUAAUAAAAACGAUCGACAUAAACAUAAGUAUAAAAUUUGUGAGCAUGAAAAUAUUUUGAAAAACAAAGAAGAAAAUGAUAAGCUAAAAAAAGGGUGGUAUAGAAGCAUUUACAAUAACAGUUUAGAUGUUUUUUCUGAAAUGUCAAAUAAAUAUAAUGAAAAAGAUGAGUUUAUAAAAAGACAACUAAGGAAAGUAAACGAUAACGCAUAUUAUUAUUACAAUUAUAUGUCAAACAAAAAUAACAAUAAAUUUAAAAAUAAAUAUUUAUAUAAGUUGAAUGAUAGGAGUAGUUAUAGUGGCAGUAGUUAUGGAGAUUGUAGUGAUAGCAGUAUCAACCUUCACGAAACAUAUAGUGGUAAAAAACAAAGUAAUGCCAUUUAUAAAUUAUUAAAUAAAGCUUUUGAAUUUUAUGACAAUGAUAAUACGAAAGUAUCAAAUAUGUAUAUGCAAAAUGUAAAUAGUGGUCACAAUAAAUGUAUUGAUGUAAAAAAUAAUUAUUGUACGUAUUCUUAUUAUUACACAUAUAUGAACAAACAUAAUAAUAUAUAUAUGUAUGAUUAUAAUAUAAAAUCAAAUAAUAAAUUAAUGAUUAAUGAUAAUAUGUAUAACAUAAGUAUGUAUCAUUUAAAUAAAAAACUUAAUAAUUCAUGCUUUAUAGAAAAACCAAAUGAAUUACAAAAAAAAAUUUAG
rnacentral:lncRNA from 1 species